rnacentral:pre_miRNA from 1 species
UGGCUUCAAAAUAACUUAUUUUGUAGCCACUUUGAGUUACAAUAAUUACUAUAUUAAUUUACAAGAUUAUAGUAACUCCUUACUAAGUGGUUUACUAUCACAUUACGGUAAAUAUCUUCAUGUGUUAUAGUAACCCAACUUUCGUAAAUAUGUAUACAUAUUAUAUAUUAUCGUAAGUUAGUAUAUAAAAUUAUCGUAAAUGGAGGUGGCUACAGAAUAACAUAUUUUGUAGCUA